GGCAGUUCUCGGGUGAUGCACCCCGGAAUUGGGCUUCCUCCUCUCUAGUUCCGGAGUACAUCACCAGAGAAUAAGA
rfam:Myotis davidii contig205786, whole genome shotgun sequence.